UCUUUUUCUUGGACAGCAGGCUUUGAAAUGUACUUUUAAUAUUUGAACAACAGUGAAAACUUCCAUAGUGUCUUUCCUCCAAGGACUUCCAGGAGAUGAGUUUCAUUUGUGAUGAGAGCAACCUCUGGUGGUGGUGGAAACUCUGAUCGUGUUUCUGGGAGCAGUUUUGGAUUGGAUGAAGGUGAAUGAUCUAAAACUAAAUCCAGACUGGAAGGAAGGGCUGUGAGCUAAGAAAUCUGCUGAUGUGAAUGGUGGUGUGCAACUGGUCCUGGAUGGUGUUGCACUUCCCCUAAGGGGCUCAAUUUCCCAUGUGACAGUAAAAAAUUUUUAUCUCAUAAAUAAUUACCACAUCAAGUCUACAAGGUGCCUGAACCUCACCCUCUUCAUUUGCAACUUGGACUGAAUCCUGGCCUCAUCCAAAUCCUUGCAUCAUACGGAUCCAGGUGUGAUGUCAAGAUG